rnacentral:rRNA from 1 species
GCAAAAACGCUUUUGGGAAUAUACCUAUCCGCGAUGAGGCCGAUUUUGCCUGGCAUUUUGAUUAUCUGCAUUUCAAUCCGGUCAAACAUGGCU